rnacentral:rRNA from 1 species
CAGGCCUAACACAUGCAAGUCGAACGGUAACAGGAAGCAGCUUGCUGCUUCGCUGACGAGUGGCGGACGGGUGAGUAAUGUCUGGGAAACUGCCUGAUGGAGGGGGAUAACUACUGGAAACGGUAGCUAAUACCGUAUAACGUCGCAAGACCAAAGAGGGGGACCUUCGGGCCUCUUGCCAUCGGAUGUGCCCAGAUGGGAUUAGCUAGUAGGUGGGGUAACGGCUCACCUAGGCGACGAUCCCUAGCUGGUCUGAGAGGAUGACCAGCCACACUGGAACUGAGACACGGUCCAGACUCCUACGGGAGGCAGCAGUGGGGAAUAUUGCACAAUGGGCGCAAGCCUGAUGCAGCCAUGCCGCGUGUAUGAAGAAGGCCUUCGGGUUGUAAAGUACUUUCAGCGGGGAGGAAGGGAGUAAAGUUAAUACCUUUACUCAUUGACGUUACCCGCAGAAGAAGCACCGGCUAACUCCGUGCCAGCAGCCGCGGUAAUACGGAGGGUGCAAGCGUUAAUCGGAAUUACUGGGCGUAAAGCGCACGCAGGCGGUUUGUUAAGUCAGAUGUGAAAUCCCCGGGCUCAACCUGGGAACUGCACCUGAUACUGGCAAGCUUGAGUCUCGUAGAGGGGGGUAGAAUUCCAGGUGUAGCGGUGAAAUGCGUAGAGAUCUGGAGGAAUGCCGGUGGCGAAGGCGGCCCCCUGGACGAAGACUGACGCUCAGGUGCGAAAGCGUGGGGAGCAAACAGGAUUAGAUACCCUGGUAGUCCACGCCGUAAACGAUGUCGACUUGGAGGUUGUGCCCUUGAGGCGUGGCUUCCGGAGCUAACGCGUUAAGUCGACCGCCUGGGGAGUACGGCCGCAAGGUUAAAACUCAAAUGAAUUGACGGGGGCCCGCACAAGCGGUGGAGCAUGUGGUUUAAUUCGAUGCAACGCGAAGAACCUUACCUGGUCUUGACAUCCACGGAAGUUUUCAGAGAUGAGAAUGUGCCUUCGGGAACCGUGAGACAGGUGCUGCAUGGCUGUCGUCAGCUCGUGUUGUGAAAUGUUGGGUUAAGUCCCGCAACGAGCGCAACCCUUAUCCUUUGUUGCCAGCGGUCCGGCCGGGAACUCAAAGGAGACUGCCAGUGAUAAACUGGAGGAAGGUGGGGAUGACGUCAAGUCAUCGUGGCCCUUACGACCAGGGCUACACACGUGCUACAAUGGCGCAUACAAAGAGAAGCGACCUCGCGAGAGCAAGCGGACCUCAUAAAGUGCGUCGUAGUCCGGAUUGGAGUCUGCAACUCGACUUCAUGAAGUCGGAAUCGCUAGUAAUCGUGGAUCAGAAUGCCACGGUGAAUACGUUCCCGGGCCUUGUACACACCGCCCGUCACACCAUGGGAGUGGGUUGCAAAAGAAGUAGGUAGCUUAACCUUCGGGAGGGCGCUUACCACUUUGUGAUUCAUGACUGGGGUG